GCCCGGGUGGUGAAAUUGGUAGACACAGCAGACUUAAAAUCUGCCGCUUGCAAAGGCGUACCGGUUCGAUUCCGGUUCCGGGCACCA
rnacentral:tRNA from 1 species